rnacentral:rRNA from 1 species
CUACGGGUCGCAGCAGUGGGGAAUCUUGGACAAUGGGCGCAAGCCUGAUCCAGCCAUGCCGCGUGAGUGAAGAAGGCCUUAGGGUCGUAAAGCUCUUUCGCCAGAGAUGAUAAUGACAGUAUCUGGUAAAGAAACCCCGGCUAACUCCGUGGCCAGCAGCCGCGGUAAUACGGAGGGGGUUAGCGUUGUUCGGAAUUACUUGGCGUAAAGCGCGCGUAGGCGAUUAGUCAGUCAGAGGUGAAAUCCCAGGGCUCAACCCUGGAACUGCCUUUGAUACUGCUAGUCUUGAGUUCGAGAGAGGUGAGUGGAAUUCCGAGUGUAGAGGUGAAAUUCGUAGAUAUUCGGAGGAACACCAGUGGCGAAGGCGGCUCACUGGCUCGAUACUGACGCUGAGGUGCGAAAGUGUGGGGAGCAAACAGGAUUAGAUACCCCCGUAGUC